rnacentral:rRNA from 1 species
GAUGAACGCUGGCGGCGUGCCUAAUACAUGCAAGUCGAGCGAACAGACGAGGAGCUUGCUCCUCUGACGUUAGCGGCGGACGGGUGAGUAACACGUGGAUAACCUACCUAUAAGACUGGGAUAACUUCGGGAAACCGGAGCUAAUACCGGAUAAUAUAUUGAACCGCAUGGUUCAAUAGUGAAAGACGGUUUUGCUGUCACUUAUAGAUGGAUCCGCGCCGCAUUAGCUAGUUGGUAAGGUAACGGCUUACCAAGGCAACGAUGCGUAGCCGACCUGAGAGGGGAAUCGGCAAAACUGAACCUGAGAAACGGCCAGACUCCUACGGGAGGCAGCAGUAGGGAAUCUUCCGCAAUGGGCGAAAGCCUGACGGAGCAACGCCGCGUGAGUGAUGAAGGUCUUCGGAUCGUAAAACUCUGUUAUUAGGGAAGAACAAAUGUGUAAGUAACUAUGCACGUCUUGACGGUACCUAAUCAGAAAGCCACGGCUAACUACGUG